UACGAAGGGGGCUAGCGUUGUUCGGAUUCAUUGGGCGUAAAGGGUGCGUAGGCGGCGUGGUAAGUCGGGUGUGAAAUCUCGGAGCUUAACUCCGAAACUGCAUUCGAUACUGCCGUGCUUGAGGACUGGAGAGGAGACUGGAAUUUACGGUGUAGCGGUGAAAUGCGUAGAUAUCGUAAGGAAGACCAGUGGCGAAGGCGGGGUCUCUGGACAGUUCCUGACGCUGAGGCACGAAGGCCAGGGGAGCAAACGGG
rnacentral:rRNA from 1 species